AAACCUUGUGUCUGAGCUUUGAACUCAGUGAUGUUUGCCAUGAUUUCUAGAAUCUCUCUACCUUGAGUUUUGGUGCAAAAUUUCACCGGGGAACUGAAUAUUGAGCAACAAUACAUAGACAAUAACACCAGCUAUUGCCAGACAAGAUAUUGCAGCGAUGCCAUAAAGUCCUUCUCCAGUUCCUGCUUUCCUGAUCCGCUUGGCACCAAAUGGACGAGCAGAGCAGAGCCUGCAAACAGCGAUGAGAAGUGAGACUCUGAAAAGCCAUGGUAGCAUUUACAUCUCUGGCAAGAAUCAGGGCUGGAAAACCACAAUCUUUAGGAAGCAGUGGAUUUACACAUCAAAUACCUUACAUUUCUCCUGCUGGUCUCCGACCAUUAUCCUCUGCUCUCAGUAGAACAGUGUAUUUAACGGCUUCAUUAAUGCCAGAGUGAAAAUUAUCUACUGCUGGAGUGACUGUCGUGUGGGGAAUUUUUACACCAGAACUGGAGCAGCAUUCUGAUCCUUCAGUACUUGGGAGCAA